UGUUGUCGUCCGCUGCGGCCGAACGCUCGCUCGCGCACGCACACGCACGCGAAACACACACACUCACGCGCACCGGCACCCCGUCUGUAUAUGUACGCGCGCACACACGGGCACGAAAACUUGUUUGACUAGGCACGGCCGGUCACCCGCCGCCGCCGCGACUACACACACACACGCGCGCGCGCGCGCAACCGGCAAGAAUGGGACGGAGGAGAAUAAAGUUGAUCUCGUCUCACACCUGCUCAAGAUUCCCUCCGUGUCCGAUGAGCAGCAUUCAGUGUCUUCGGAGCUCCGGUUCCGUGCGUUUCGUUUGAUAUCAUAUCACUAGUCUGUACACGGUGUGCGCGGGCCCGCGGUGCCGUCGUCGCGCGUAAAAUCUAUCGCCACCUGUGCGUUUUCAAUAAUAAUAAUAAUUAUUAUUAUAAUAUAGGUACGUACCUAUAUUUCGUAUUUCGCCCGACGCCGAAUUUGGUUCCGUCUCUGUAUCUUCCGGCGGUCGUCGCCGCGAGGUAAUAAUAAUAAUAUUAAUACUUCAAUAAUAAUAAUAAAAUUAAAUACGUAUUUCAAUACAGUUCGUCUUUCGACGCGAGUGCGACCCGUGUCGAAACUGUGUGCGUGCGCGGUUUUCCGGUUCGACCGUUGCGAGAGAUCUGCACCGCCGCCGCWAAGGCCAAACACUCGAAGCCGGACCGUCCGCGAAGGAUUUACGCGCAUCAGGAUAUUAAAAAGGCGUUGCCCACUAUCGAGAAUCGCGUUGUAGACGCAUAACAUCAUAUACACGCGCGUCAUUCAUUGUAGCGUACAAUAUGACUAUGACUGUCGGAGUCGUUCAAUACCGUCCGACAUAACAUGAACGAACAGAUCAUUACCCAAGGACGAUGAUGUCGUCGCUAAACAACGGAAUAACGAGACAAAAGCAUCAUUGUAAUGUCAUCGAAACGUAAAUCGCCGCCGUCCAAGUUGCUGGAUAACGCUACGAGCGCACCCGACACGACAACGACGGCUGAGACAACGGUUGCAACGAACGCGGUCGAAGAGAACGGUAGCGGCAGCAGUAGCGGCCACUCGGACGACGGUUACACUUGCGGUAACGGUACGGAAGUCGUCGACAACUGCAACGAAACGACCAUGGAAACGGCCACGGCCACAGCGUCGGCCG